rnacentral:rRNA from 1 species
UAAGGUUNGAUCCUGCUCAGGACGAACGCUGGCGGCUUGCUAACACAUGCAGUCGAGGGGCCAGCAAUGUCACNGGCGAACGGGUGCGNACACGUGAGCAACCUGCCGCGAAGNGGGGAUAGCCGGCCCGACCGCCCGGGUAAUACCGCAUACGAUCNUUGGGGGGAUUCCCUGGGAGAUGAAAGUAUUUCGCUCUGCGAGGGGCUCGCGGCCUAUCAGCUAGUUGGUGCGGUAACGGCGCACCAAGGCGACGACGGGUAGCUGGUCUGAGAGGAUGGCCAGCCACAUUGGGACUGCGACACGGCCCAGACUCCUACGGGAGGCAGCAGUGGGGAAUCUUGCGCAAUGGGCGAAAGCCUGACGCAGCGACGCCGCGUGGGGGAGGAAGGUCUUCGAAUUGUAAACCCCUGUUGCCCGGGACGAAUCCGGCGUUUUGACGCCGUUGACGGUACCGGGUGAGGAAGCACCGGCUAACUCCGUGCCAGCAGCCGCGGUAAUACGGAGGGUGCGAGCGUUGUCUGGAAUCACUGGGCGUAAAGGGCGCGUAGGUGGCGCGGUAAGCGUGUGGUGAAAGCUCGGGGCUCAACCCCGAGUCGGCCAUGCGAACUGCUGGGCUCGAGCACUGUAGAGGCAGACGGAAUUCCGGGUGUAGCGGUGGAAUGCGUAGAGAUCCGGAAGAACACCGGUGGCGAAGGCGGUCUGCUGGGCAGUUGCUGACACUGAGGCGCGACAGCGUGGGGAGCAAACAGGAUUAGAUACCCUGGUAGUC